UCUCCGUAGGUGAACCUGCGGAGGGAUCAUUACAAGUGACCCCGGUCUUACCACCGGGAUGUUCAUAACCCUUUGUUGUCCGACUCUGUUGCCUCCGGGGCGACCCUGCCUUCGGGCGGGGGCUCCGGGUGGACACUUCAAACUCUUGCGUAACUUUGCAGUCUGAGUAAACCUAAUUAAUAAAUUAAAACUUUUAACAACGGAUCUCUUGGUUCUGACAUCGAUGAAGAACGCAGC
rnacentral:misc_RNA from 1 species